CCUUGGUGGCUUACUUGGUAAAGAAUCUGCCUGCAAUGCAGGAGACCCAGGUUCAAUCCCUGGGUCAGGGA
rnacentral:tRNA from 1 species